rnacentral:lncRNA from 1 species
AUUCUCCAAAGAAGAAAUCAGAGACUGAAGGCAGGAAGUGGCCCUUAUCCUGUGAUCUCACAGCAUCCCACUUGGAGCUCAGUGCCGCAAAGGGAGACCUCUUCUCUGAAGUGAUAAGAUGAGAUGCUUUCUGUAAGAUCUGAGAGGCUGUUGGGGCUUAGGGCAGUCUUGUCAGCAGGAUGCUGGCUGCCUGAUCAGGGGCUUAAAUCAUAAUCUCCAGGAGACUCCUGUGGCUAAAACUCUCAAGAGCUGACAUGAGGGCCAAACAAUUGAAGAAUUCAUGCCCCAGAUCGCAGGCAAAUGAACGGAUGCCUGGAAGAUUCUGGGGCCAGUUCACUUACAGCGUCAUGAAAGACUUCGACACCAGAUUAGAUAUCCUUCAUGCCCUCGCAUUCUGUGACGCCCACCCUGGACACGGGGCUGCAGAAUCUAAUGCCCUAUUCUCCGGUGACCACAGAGACUUCAUUACAGGUGAAGCGGUUCCUCUUGCUGUGGACUAUCCAGCGGUGGAGAGCAGCUUGCUGAGGGUGGGGUUUCCCAGAUGUUGUCUGAUGCCAUCUGAAUAUGGAGAAAAUAGCAGGAGAGAUGGCCAGGAGCGGUUGUGCCACUUGGGCAGGUGCGUUUACUCCAUUUAAUAUAGAAAGGACCCUGGAUUACAUGGGUGUAUAGGCAGCUCAGUAGCUGUCUGAACAUAAGCUUUCUUCAGGGAUCUCACCCAGGGUUGCUGUGGUGGAGACUGUGGAGAGAAGGCACGCUGUGGAGAGACACACUGUGGAGAGAAGACUGGGGAGAAGACACGCUCAAGCUGGAGCCUGACCUGCCUGCUGGGGAAGGGCCAGCUGAAGGCUUGUUUGGAGAGCCCACAGACGUGUUCCAGGAGGCCUGGCGGGCAGCCCCUGCCACACAAAUAGCCAGGCUGUGUGGGCAGGGAGGGGGCUGCUCUGCCCAGCAUGCUCCACCCCUGCCUGGACCCAGCAGGCCAGGUGCAGGGGAGAGGGAGAGAAGGGAGAGUUUGCAGACCAUGUCCCAUCCCCUACAUUGUACCAUUGAGGGUCAAGGAGGAACACUUCGAGAAGACUGUAAGGUUACUGUUUUUAUUUUUUUUAAUUUAUUAAAUAUUUUUUUUGCCA